rnacentral:rRNA from 1 species
GCCUACGGGAGGCAGCAGUGAGGAAUAUUGGUCAAUGGGCUUACGCCUGAACCAGCCAAGUCGCGUGAGGGAAGACUGCCCUAUGGGUUGUAAACCUCUUUUGUCAAGGAGCAACGCCGGCUACGUGUAGCCGGACUGAGAGUACCUGAAGAAAAAGCAUCGGCUAACUCCGUGCCAGCAGCCGCGGUAAUACGGAGGAUGCGAGCGUUAUCCGGAUUUAUUGGGUUUAAAGGGUGCGUAGGCGGAAUGCCAAGUCAGCGGUAAAAUCGCGGGGCUCAACCUCGCCCCGCCGUUGAAACUGGCGU